rnacentral:tRNA from 1 species
CAAAGUAUAGCUUAACUUAAAGCCCCUCGCUUACACCGAGAUGAUAUCCGUUAGACCCAGAUUACUUUGA